rnacentral:rRNA from 1 species
GGGAAUAUUGGACAAUGGGCGAAAGCCUGAUCCAGCAAUGCCGCGUGAGUGAUGAAGGCCUUAGGGUUGUAAAGCUCUUUUACCCGGGAAGAUAAUGACUGUACCGGGAGAAUAAGCCCCGGCUAACUCCGUGCCAGCAGCCGCGGUAAUACGGAGGGGGCUAGCGUUGUUCGGAAUUACUGGGCGUAAAGCGCGCGUAGGCGGCUUUGUAAGUUAGAGGUGAAAGCCCGGAGCUUAACUCCGGAACUGCCUUUAAGACUGCAUCGCUAGAAUUGUGGAGAGGUGAGUGGAAUUCCGAGUGUAGAGGUGAAAUUCGUAGAUAUUCGGAAGAACACCAGUGGCGAAGGCGACUCGCUGGACAAGUAUUGACGCUGAGGUGCGAAAGCGUGGGGAGCAAA